rnacentral:lncRNA from 1 species
GUCUUCAUGCAUCUGUUGUGGGUGAAGAGAGCAAAGAUUCUUCAUUCAAUCAAAGGCCCCCUUUGGAGAUGCUGAGAAGGAAAUUUCCUUUGGAAAUUCCCAAAGCCUCUGUUCAGAUGUCACAUUCUGCAUACAAUGGCACCUCCUAACAGAAGAAAUGAUGGCAUGGGCAUGCAAUCUGCAAAAUCCAUACCACAGGAUAUUCUAGGGGACAAAUGACCUGGCCAUUUCAACAAAAACCUGCAAGAAACAAAAACGAAGAAAGGAAAUGGGCACUGCCCACAUGAGUAGUAUUCCACUGUAUUCCACAUGAGGCUCUUAUGACCGACUUCAGCAGAAGGUCAGAGGAUUCUAUGAUGUUUGAUGGUGUGCUUCAGGGGAGAAGGGUUGGGGUCAAAGAGACCUUCCCGCUUCUGCUGGUUUUCUCAGAUGCCAAGAUGCUCUAUUUUGGGGUAACAUGUCCUAAACCCUAUCACCUGCCUAAUGUUACUUAUUAGCUCUCAUUUCCCCUGACACUUUCCCUUUUUGUUUUCUUGAGUAGAAGCUUCAUAAAGGCAAGACCUUCAUCUUACUCACAGCAGUUGAUUCUAUCACCUUGUAUGGCCCCUGACACAUAGAAGGUGCUCAAUAAAUUUUGUUGAAUGGA